ACCUUCCCCUCAUUGUCAUCUGGAAUCAGCUGUGUAGGCAACACUUCAAUAACCGCAUCUGCGUAUUGCUUUUGUGGGUCUGCAACAUGAAAAUCAAAUUCAAAACAGAAUCUACUCAAAUUCUAAACCAGGUUUGACCCACCAACCUGUGAACAUGACAAUAUAAGAUCAUUGGUCGGAGUGAAGAGAAUUGGACUUACAUUGGGUGCAAACCUUCAAUGACAAGGAUCUUAGGUGGCUUGAUGAGCUCCGGAGGGUCCAAAAGACCACUAACAUGGUUAUAAAUCGGCUUAUCUACAG